rnacentral:rRNA from 1 species
UUUGAUUCUGGCUCCAGAUUGAACGCUGGCGGGAUGUAAGCGCUUUACGCCGGUCAGACGGCAGCACGGACUUCGGUCUGGUGGCGAGUGGCGAACGGUGAGUAAUGUAUCGGAACGUGCCUAGUAGCGGGGAUAACUACGCGAAAGCGUAGCUAAUGCCGCAUACGCCCUUCGGGGAAGCAGAGACCUUCGGGCCUCGCACUAUUAGAGCGGCCGAUAUCGGAUUAGCUAGUUGGUGGGGUAACGGCUCACCAAGGCGACGAUCCGUAGCUGGUUUGAGAGGACGACCAGCCACACUGAGACUGGGAACACAGCCCAGACUCCUACGGGAGGCAGCAGUGGGGAAUUUUGGACAAUGGAAACCCUGAUCCGGCCAUCCGCGUGCGAUGAAGGCCUUCGGGUUGUAAAGCACUUUUGGCAGGAAAGAAACGGCACGGGAUAAUACCCCGUGCAACUGACGGUACCUGCAAGAAUGGCACCGGCUAACUGGUAUUGCAGCAUUAUGAUGAUAAACAUGCAGGUGUAAGCGUUAAUCCAGAUUACUGGGCGUAAAGCGUGCGCGAGCGGUUCGGAAAGAAAGAUGUGAAAUCCCAGAGCUUAACUUUGGAACUGCAUUUUUAACUUUACCGAGCUAGAGUGUGUCAGAGAGGUGGAAUUCCGCGUGUGGCAGUGAAAUGCGUAGAUAUGCGGAGGAACACCGAUGGCGAAGGCGGCCUCCUGGAAUAACACUGACGCUCAUGCACGAAAGCGUGGGAGCAAACAGGAUUAGAUACCCUGGUAGUCCACACUUUCAAACGAUGUCAACUAGCUGUUGGGGCCUUCAGGCCUUGGUAGCGCAGCUAACGCGUGAAGUUGACCGCCUGGGGAAUGCGGUCGCAAAGAUUAAAACUCAAGGAAUUGACGGGGACCCGCACAAGCGGUGGAUGAUGUGGAUUAAUUCGAUGCAACGCGAAAAACCUUACCUACCCUUGACAUGUCUGGAAUCGAGAUUUGGGAGUGCUCGCAAGAGAACCGGAACACAGGUGCUGCAUGGCUGACAUCGUCAGCUCGUGUCGUGAGAUGUUGGGUUAAGUCCCGCAACGAGCGCAACCCUUGUCAUUAGUUGCUACGAAAGGGCACUCUAAUGAGACUGCCGGUGACAAACCGGAGGAAGGUGGGGAUGACGUCAAGUCCUCAUGGCCCUUAUGGGUGAGGCUUCACACGUCAUACAAUGGUCGGGACAGAGGGUCGCCAACCCGCGAGGGGGAGCCAAUCCCAGAAACCCGAUCGUAGUCGGAUCGCGAUCUGCAACUCGACUGCGUGAAGUCCAGAAUCGCUAAGUAAUCGCGGAUCAGCAUGUCGCGGUGAAUACGUUCCAGGUCUUGUACACACCGCCCGUCACACCAUGGAGUGGGUUUUUACCAGAAGUAGUUAGCCCUAACCGUAAGGAGAGGCGAUUACCACGGUAGGAUUCAUGACUGGGGUGAAGUCGUAACAAGGUAG